rnacentral:rRNA from 1 species
CCUACGGGUGGCAGCAGUGGGGAAUAUUGCACAAUGGGGGAAACCCUGAUGCAGCGACGCCGCGUGAGUGAAGAAGUAUUUCGGUAUGUAAAGCUCUAUCAGCAGGGAAGAUAAUGACGGUACCUGAGUAAGAAGCCCCGGCUAACUACGUGCCAGCAGCCGCGGUAAUACGUAGGGGGCAAGCGUUAUCCGGAUUUACUGGGUGGAAAGGGAGCGUAGACGGCAUGGCAAGUCUGAAGUGAAAGCCCGGGGCGCAACCGCGGGACUGCUUUGGAAACUGUUAAGCUGGAGUGCAGGAGAGGUAAGUGGAAUUCCUAGUGUAGCGGUGAAAUGCGUAGAUAUUAGGAGGAACACCAGUGGCGAAGGCGGCUUACUGGACUGUAACUGACGUUGAGGCUCGAAAGCGUGGGGAGCAAACAGGAUUAGAUACCCUAGUAGUC